GUCUCUGUGGUGUAGCGGUAGAGCACGAGUUCCCGAAUAGGAUGAAACACGAGUUCGAUUCCCGCCUGAGGCC